rnacentral:lncRNA from 1 species
CCAAGUCUAAGAAACAUAAAGACUUUUUGGUUAGUUCUUGGGCCAACCUUGUUGACCAUAUGUACUAUGAUGACCAAGAUGCUGUUCUUGAGAACUUGGAUUCUAAAUACCUAAAAUUCCAACUUUCCAUGUCCGAAUCCAAAAAAAAAGAAACUUAAACAGAAAAAUAAAACCAUGAAGUUCUCAUCUUCAUCUGGAGCAUCUUCUUCUAGUUCUUCCAUUGAGUCAACUUUUAAAGUGAUGUCUUUGGAUUUCUUCUCUUGAAUCUCAUUCUUUUCU